UCCUCCUGAACUCCUCUGGUCUAUGCAAAGUGACUGGCCCAGCCUGCAGCCUAGCCUGGCUUCAGUCAUGGGAAAUGUGGGUGGACUGGGGUAGGGCCCCCUUCUCUAUGCCUCUCCACUCUCCUCCCUCAAUCCCUGAAUUCCUUUAAGAGCUAAGUUCACACUCGGAGCUAGAGGCAAGCUUCUGGCCCGCAGGCCUCCUCCUGUUCCCCAGCAUCCCACCUGGCACAGCCCCUGCGGCUGCUUGUGGGAGCCAGGCCCUCCGUGGUGGCAGCCAUUUCCCAAUAGUCUUGAUUAGUCUGGCAGGACUCGGCUGACUAAGAAAUUUACUGCACAGAGAAGGAAGGCUAUCCCCUGGAGAGCAGGGACCACCCAGAGGGGUCACCUGGACAGCUCUCAUUCACAUAACAACUCUGCACUGGUACCACAGGAUGUCAAGAUAAAGGUCAAGGGUAAAAGAAACAACUUCAGGGACAGGGUGCCAGGAAUGUGUGUCUGUGUGUGCAUAAACGUGCCAGACAGGGAGAAGGCUCAGAAGAGAAAUAUGUACUGAAGAGGCGGCUCCAUGGAGCAGGAGACUGGCCUAAAGGGAAGAAGCAUGUUUGGAGUCACUAGGUUCCAGGUGACAAGUGACAGCAACCACAGGAAAGCGGUGUGACAGGAAGAAUGCUGUUCCCAGACUCACCCCAUAUGGUUCACAGCCAUCACUCAAUACAUACUCCUCCACAAGUAUUUGGAAGAACUCGGAAUCUAUCACAUCCUUGAAACAAGCUCAGCAGUGACCUUGAGGUUCCUGCCUUGGCUUCUUUCAGAGGACUGUUCCCAGGACAGCUAAGCCAAACAACCACCCUCUUGCUCAAGCUGCUUUUGGACAGUUUUAUCACAGGGAGAGAAAUCCUAACUAAGACAGACCGGUCACAUCCAUAUUCCACCAAAACAUGGAAUGACUUCCGACAUUCAGCUUAUACCACAAGCCAGGUGCAGAGCCAGGCCUCACACUCAGGACGCAGCAGACUCAGACUUGAGCAUGUAAAGAUGCCCGUGUCCCAACAGCAGAGCACAUAACUAGCAAGGAAAAGGGGUCGGGUGGGAAUGGCAGUUGGAGCAAACAUCCCCCCCUCUGAGUGUUCACUUCUAGCACCUCAUGAUCCCACAGUUACAUCCACUAGAUGUGGCCUCAGCACCCAGAAACCCUUCCCAGGGCUACAACUCGGCCCAGGGAAUCUGCUUCUCAGAACCUGUGUUCUCAGGGUUGGGACCCAGAGCCACUCCCACCCCUCAGAGACGGGAAGGUAUAGAGUCAGACCGAGGUAGGCAGGUGGUACAAGGUGGGCCUGGCACAGUGCUGUUCCCAGAGGGCUCUGAGAAGCAGGCAUGAGAUUGGAAGACAGAAGGACAGGCGGCAAGAGCAAGGGGAAGCCUUGAGGAAAUUCAAACUCUAGCCAUCACCUGGAGGGUAUGGAGGGGCCAGGUGAGGAGUGUUCCCACAGAGGCUUGACAAAGGGUGUCCUCAACAGGGGCUAGGUAAGAGGUGUCCCAACAGAGGCCUGACAAGGGUGUCCCAACAGAGGCCAGAUCCUGGCUACAAAGUGCUGCAAGGGCAGAUCGUAUUCCCUGCUGCAGAGCAGCUCAGAGCCUGAGGACAGUGGGAGCCUCGGGGGUAGCCUUAGAACCAGGAAAUGGAGCCUUAGGAGCCUAGGUAGGACAUAGGCUUAAGGCUCCAGAGCCUGAGAUACACUGCCAUGGAGAGUGGCCAGCUGGUGCAGAGAUGGAGGGACAGAGCUCUCCCCCAGCCCCUCUUCUCCUCAGAAUUCAUCAACAGUGUCCUAUCAUAGCUGUGGUGAGGAGGACCACAGUUGGGCCUUCUGGGGCUGGAGCACAAAGGCCCCCAGGAACCUUGAGGGCAAAGCCACAAGCACAGGAACUUGUGGACCCUGUCACCUAAGCAGGAACUCCACAGUGGAGUAUCCCUUGCCCCAUCUAUCAGCUCCUGCCCUGAAUAACCCAGUGAUUUUCACAUGGUGUCAGAUUCAGGGGAAUGACAAAUUCCAAAGGCUUCCCAGGCCUGAGCUUAGAGCCCUCUGGGUACAGGAUGCAGCAUGUGUCCCCCAAGCAACUGACCUGGAGACAGGUUAACAAUGAGAUUGUCCCAGGACAGCCAUAGGGGGAUUCUGCUAGAUGAGUCAGGUAGGAGAGGGUCAGCAAGGACCAUGACAGUGGUUGUUCUGCAUUGCAGGCCUUGGAGACAGACAUGGGGGGUGCAAGCCAAGGGAUGUUCUAGACAAGGCUUUCCCUGUAGCCUCUCAGAAACUGGCCCUGCCCAGCCUAGAUUCCCUCAGUGAGGCCUGGGUGUUACUUUGGAGAAUAUGCAGUCCAGGAUAGCCUGAAACUAGUGAUGCUCCUGCCUCAGCCUCCCUAGUGUGGGCAUUACAGGUAGGUGUGUGUGUGUGUGUGUGUGUGUGUGUGUGUGUGUGUGUGUGUGUGUGAGAGAGAGAAAGCAGACAGACAGACAGACAGACAGGCCCAGCUCAAGAUUUAUCACAGCAGCCAUAGGAAAU